rnacentral:lncRNA from 1 species
CUCCUCCCCCUUUCCUUUCCUCCUCCCACCACCUUCCACCAGCUCCUUCCACUUCCCGCUGCCUCCCGGGACUCUCGCGAGACCUUGCCCGGAGACGCGGAGAAGCCCUGGAGGUGAUCUCACCCCCGAGACUUGCCGAGAGGCGGGGAGGAGAGAGGGUGGUGAGAGUGGAGGGGGGAGGAGGGGGCGGAGAGCGGGGUUGGGACGGGGGGAGGAGGAGGAGGGGGAGAGGAGUUGGGAGUGGGGAAGGGAACGUUCUGCGCGGGCGAGCGAGUGAGCGAGCGAGCGCGCGCCGCCAGCACCAGCACCAGCAGCUCCAGCAGCUCCAGCAGCUCCAGCCGCAGCAACCGCAGCAGCCGCAGCAGCUGCAACUUUGUUAGGGAGUUGUGUGCGUGCGUGCGUGCGUGCGGGAGCGAGCGGGCGGGCGGGCGAAAGUCAAUGCGGCGCUGAGAGUCGCAGGGAGUUGGGGUGCCUGGUGGGAAAGCAGUCGGCUUCGGAGGCAGCCUCCCCUCCCUCGGAGCUCCUCCCGUCUCCUUCCCCGAGAACCCCAAGUAGGCGGUAGAGGAGCGUGUCAGUGGUGUGUGUGUGUGUUUGUGUAUGUGUGUGUGUGUGUGCGCGCGCUCACUGUAGCCAGGAUUCCUCCUCCUCCUCCUCCUCCUCCUCCUCCUCCUCCUAAGAAGAGAGCUCGAGUGGAAACUGCUCCUGGACACCAUCUGCCUCUUCCGGGAGCUGGACAGGAGGGGAGGGGGCACGCAACUAAAAACGGGUAAGUGGCUUCCCCAGGUGUCAGGUUAUGGAGGGGGGCGGGGGGAGAUGAAGGGAUUCCAGGGGA